rnacentral:rRNA from 1 species
AUUGAACGCUGGCGGCAGGCCUAACACAUGCAAGUCGAGCGGUAACACAGGGAGCUUGCUCCCGGGUGACGAGCGGCGGACGGGUGAGUAAUGUCUGGGAAACUGCCUGAUGGAGGGGGAUAACUACUGGAAACGGUAGCUAAUACCGCAUAAUGUCGCAAGACCAAAGAGGGGGACCUUCGGGCCUCUUGCCAUCAGAUGUGCCCAGAUGGGAUUAGCUAGUAGGUGGGGUAACGGCUCACCUAGGCGACGAUCCCUAGCUGGUCUGAGAGGAUGACCAGCCACACUGGAACUGAGACACGGUCCAGACUCCUACGGGAGGCAGCAGUGGGGAAUAUUGCACAAUGGGCGCAAGCCUGAUGCAGCCAUGCCGCGUGUAUGAAGAAGGCCUUCGGGUUGUAAAGUACUUUCAGCGGGGAGGAAGGUGCUGAGGUUAAUAACCUCAGCAAUUGACGUUACCCGCAGAAGAAGCACCGGCUAACUCCGUGCCAGCCGCCGCGGUAA